ensembl:lncRNA
GGACAGCCUAGAGGGUCCGGUGGAGGAAACAAGGCGGGGGUCUCUGGCACAUCCGGUCUCCAACCAAACUCUCUCACCGUCUCAUACUCAUGACCAGGAGGCUCACCGGGAUAGUGCACGGGAUAGUGCACGUGAUCUGGGAGAAAGAAAGUUGGCAGAGGUGAGAACACACUGAGAUGUCUCACCAGACCUAUAGUGAGUGGACUCACCAUGGCUAUAGUGAGUUGUCCUACAGUGAGUUGUCUCUCCAGUCCUAUAGUGAGUGGACUCACCAUGGCUAUAGUGAGUUGUCCUACAGUGAGUUGUCUCUCCAAGUGGGUUGUCUCUCCAGGCCUAUAGUUAUUUGUUUCACCAGGUCUAUCUAUAGUGGGUUGUCUCUCCAGGCCUAUAAUUAUUUGUUUCACCAGGUCUAUCUAUAGUGAGUUGUCUCUCCAGGGCUAUUGUCAUUUGUUUCACCAGGUCUAUCUAUAGUGAGUUGUCUCACCGGUCCUGUAGUGUGCAGUCUCACCCGGCCUGUGCGUCUCCUCAGCGUAGGGUUGAAGCCGUGGACGAUAGUCUCUUAAAGGGUAAUAGUUUUGACUCUCCUGUAAUGCCAGAGAAAAAUAACAUGAGGUUUGUACGAACGAUGCGUCGCAUAACUAUUCACACAUUAUUAUAUACAGUUUCGCUAUGUAUAGUGUGAUAUUAUCUAUCGAUGCAUAUAUCUUCAACAGGAGGUUUAACCACUCGCAUUUACGAUCGUCAUUUCAAUCUGCACACUUGUGUUUAUAGCGGUGCCUGUAAAACCUUGAGUCACC